UGCGGGUGUCCGCCCCGAAGCGGAUGAAAAGGGAACGGGGUGCAAAUCCCCGACAGGACCGCUGCUGUGAAAACGCGAGCGCCUUCAGUGCGCCACUGGUUGAUCCGGGAAGGCGAAGGCGCGAAAGAGCCGUUUGAGUCAGAAGACCUGCCCGCUAG
rnacentral:ncRNA from 1 species